rnacentral:snRNA from 1 species
AUACCUUUCUGGGCCUUUUGGCCAAAAUCAAGUGUACUCUCUGUUCUUAUCAGUGUAAUAACUCAUACGUGGACUGAUAGUUCACAUAAUAUUAAAUUAAUUUUUAUUACGGAAGGGCUAAGAACAGUGGCUUGCCACUGCUCGUGCGUUGCACUGCUGCACUGGCUUGGCGCACCCUCG